rnacentral:lncRNA from 10 species
CUCACAGUUCAGCAUGGCUGGGGAAACCUCAGGAAACUUGCAAUUACGGUAGAAGGGGAAGCAAACACGUCCUUCUUUACAUGGCGGCAGGAAUGAGAAGUGUUGAGCAAAGCGGGUGAAAGCCCCUUAUAAAACCAUCAGAUCUUGUGAGAACUCACUAUCAUGAGAUCAGCAGCAUGGGAGUAACCGCCCCCAUGAUUCAAUUACCUCCCACUGGGUCCCUCCCAUGACACAUGGGGAUUAUGGGAACUAUGAUUCAAGGUGAGAUUUGGGUGGGGACACAGCCAAACCAUAUCAGACACCUUUCUGGGAAUAGCCCUGAACACAGCAUGGUCGAAAGGGGAAGUGCUGCCCCAUCUUGCAUUUUCAUACCCUGCAGCUUUCAUCACUCCUCUGAGCACGGUAUGAUGCCUGAAUCCUGAACUUAUUUAUUCAUCAGUUCAAAAUAAUGCCCAGCCCACAAGCCCCCAACUUGCAUGUCUCCCUCAGUGCCCUCUCACCUGCUCUAUGUUUACCUGGAUGAUUGCCCAGACCAGGAGAAAACAAGCUUGUUCCCGUUUUCUAUUCUUCAACUAGGAAGUAUCUUCAUCUCUUCUAUCACUUUCUUCUUUAACAUGAUGGAGUCUACAUCAUUAGGAAUGCACCAGUAGAAUUAUCUUGAGGAUGCCUGAGGUCCAUGUGGCCAAAUAGGAUCUCCUGGCAUCAGGGAAGGCAGCUCAAGGCCCUUGGAACUCCACAUCAGGGGUCUACAGGCAACUAUAUGCUUGUACUUGGUAAGCCUUAGUCCACUCAGAGAGGAACUAGUUACAUAUAAUCUAAGUGACUGGCACCUUUCUGGAACAUAUUAUGGACGAAUGGGGAGGGGCUACUCCAUCGUGCAAUGUGAAUCCCCAUCCUAGAGAAUGUCCAGCCCACUGCCCUCCAUCAUGUAUGUUUCCCUCAGCAAGAGCACUCUCACUUGGCUUCAUGUUUACCCAGAUGGUUGCCAGGACCACGAGAGAACAAGCUUGUUUUUCUGUUCUUCUAUUAGGAAGUAUCUUCACGUCUUCUAUCCUUCUCUUCUCUAUCAUAUAGGUAUUCUCAUUAUUAGGAAUGAACCACUGAAAUCAUCUAGAGGAUGUCUGAGGUUCAGGUGGCCAGCUAGGAUCUCCUGGCAUCAUUGAAGACAACUUAGGGCUCCAGCAACUCCAACUCAUCGCCUGUCUGAAGACCACCACACACUUGUACUUGGUAUUUCCAUUGUUAGAAAUGCAUCAUUGAAAUCACCUUGAGAACACCUAAGGUUCAGGUGGCCAGCUAGGAUCUCCCGGCCUUACUGAAGACAACUAAAGCCUCCAGCAACUCCACUGCAUCACCUGUCCGAAGGUCACCAUGAACUUGUACUUGGUGCUCACGUUGUUAGAAAUGAUCAUCUUGACGAUGCCUGAAUUCCAGGUGGUUUCCAAGGUUCUCCUGGGAUCAAUGAAGGCAGCUCAAGUUGCUUGCAGGUCUACCCCCUCACCAGUCUGAGGACCACCACAAAAGUGUACUUGGUGUUCACGUCUUAAGGAUGCCUGAGGUUCAGGUGGCCAGCUAGGAUCUCCCGGCAUUAUUAAAGACAACUCCUGCAGCUCCACCCUAUUACCUGUCCGAAGGCCACCACAAACUUGUACUUAGUGAGCCUUACUCUACGCAGAAAGGACACAGUGACAUGUAGUGUAAGUGACUGGCACCUUUCUGAGUAAGGCACUGCCCACAGCAUGGCUGAUUGUGAAGGUGCCGCCCCAUCCCCCACCAUUGUCCCCUGCAUCUUUUAUCACUCCCUUCAACACAGCAGGAUGCCUGAAUCUGGAACUUACUUAUUAUUAAGUCCUAGAGAAUGUCCAGCCCACUGCCCACCAACUGUCAUGCCUGACUCAGUGAGAACCCUCUCACUUGCUCUAUGUUUACCCAGUGAUUGCCAGGACCAGGUGAGAACAAGCUUGUUACCGUUUUCUAUUACUCUAUUAGGAACGAUCUUCAUCUCAUCUUUCUCUUCUUUAACCUGUAGGUGUUCACAUUGGUAGGAAUGCACCACUGAAAUCAUCUUGAGGAUGCCUGAGGUCCACAUGGCCAGCUAGGUUCUCCUGUUAUCAGGGAAGGCAGCUUGAGGCUUUUGCAGCUCUACUCCAACACGGGUACAAAGGCCACCACAAAUAUAUACAUGGUGAGCCUUGCUCUACCCAGAAAGGAGCCAGUGACAUAAAAUCUACAUAAAUGGCACCUUUCUGAGUAGGGCAUUGCACACAGCAUGGCUGAUUGCGGAAGCGCUGCCCUGUGCCCCACCAUUGUCCCCUGCAGGUUUUAUCAUUCCCCUCAAUAGAACAUGAUGCCUGAACAAUUUGAUUCAUAAGUCCUAGAGAAUGCUCAUCCCACUGCUCUCCAAACUGCAUCCCUCCUUAAGUGGAGACCCACUAAUCUUCUCCAUGUUUACCUAGAUGAUUGACAGGAGCAGGAGAGAAUAAGCUUGGACAUGUUUCCUUUUCUUAAGAAGUAUCUUUAUCUUCUCAAACUUCUAAAAAUGGAAGUUUUUUAUAUAUAUAGCAUUUCAUGUGGUUUGAUCUCCCUAAAGUUUACACAAAAAACCCUCCAAUACACCCACCACAUCCUUCUUUUCUCCAUAUAUUCCUUCAUUCCAAAUACAUAGAAUAAAAAUGACAAGAAUUGCAAAAAUUCCUAAGUGAAGCUAAAGUACAUUAGAGAUGUGAAAGACAGAAACUUAUUUUCUUCAUCCAUCCUUUGAGAGGAAACUACACUUUUAACUCAUAACUUUUGAAUUUUCCUACAGGCCUUUUGUGCUCUGAUUUUCCCUGAAAUAAUCUGAAUCAGAGGGAGGUUGUAAGACAAUAUGUGGGGAGAUACCUGACCCCAAUCCAGUUCUCCUGGCCAUGAUUGGAACCUUGCACUCACUCCCAACCAUGAAAUUACCAAUACCUACGUGAUCAUUCAUCUAUUAUUCUGCUACAAAGCGUGACACAAAGGUAGCAAAGUUUCAUAUCCUUUAUUCACCAAAACAAACGUAAUUGUUGAUAGGAGCAGCAGAGAAGAAAUAUGCCCAAUAUCUGGGACCCUUAGUGGUCUAGAAAAGCUGUGAGAGCAAACUUCUGAAAAAUGAUGCCUAUUUUGACCCAGUUGUGCCAGUAUUUAUUUCUUGCAUUGGCCUUAGGAUGUUUAUCUCACACAGAUGAUGAUAAGCUGUUUACCACGCAAGAACAAGCACUGAAUACACCAGUUGGCAUGGAGUCAGAGACUACUAUGUAUCUCCUUAUAUUUCAUUGCCUUAUUUCAUAAGUUAUGUGAAAAAAUAAAGGUAAAUACAAAUAAAAGGACAAGAGCAACAACAAUAAUUUAUAUUUCUGAAAUGCUCACUUACACCACAUCAAUGUACUUGGGAAUUUUAUGUGAA